rnacentral:rRNA from 1 species
UAGGGAAUCUUCGGCAAUGGACUAAAGUCUGACCGAGCAACGCCGCGUGAGUGAAGAAGGUUUUCGGAUCGUAAAACUCUGUUGUUAGAGAAGAACAAGGACGUUAGUAACUGAACGUCCCCUGACGGUAUCUAACCAGAAAGCCACGGCUAACUACGUGCCAGCAGCCGCGGUAAUACGUAGGUGGCAAGCGUUGUCCGGAUUUAUUGGGCGUAAAGCGAGCGCAGGCGGUUUCUUAAGUCUGAUGUGAAAGCCCCCGGCUCAACCGGGGAGGGUCAUUGGAACCUGGGAGAAUUGGGUGAAGAAGAGGAGAGUGGAAUUCCAUGUGUAGCGGUGAAAUACGUAGAUAUAUGGAGGAACACCAGUGGCGAAGGCGGCUCUCUGGUCUGUAACUGCCGCUGAGGCUCGAAAGCGUGGGGAGCAAACAGG